rnacentral:tRNA from 1 species
GUAGCUCAGAAGUAGAGCACCUGCCUAGCAUGCAUGAGGCCUUGGGUUCAAUCCCAGC